rnacentral:ncRNA from 1 species
CAAAAGAAGAGUUUGAUCCUGGCUCAGAAGGAACGCUAGCUAUAUGCUUAACAUAUGCAAGUCGAACGUUGUUUUCGGGGAGCUGGGCAGAAGGAAAAGAGGCUCCUAGCUAAAGGUAGCUUGUCUUGCCCAGGAGGUGAGAAGAGUUGAGAACAAAGUGGUGAACGGGUGCCUAACGCGUGGGAAUCUGCCGAACAUUUCGGGCAAAAUCCUAAAGAAAGCUAAAAAGUGUUGUUUGGUCUAACUCUGAAGUUUA